rnacentral:lncRNA from 1 species
ACAAAGCCCAUUACUGGGACUGCUCUUCAUCCUUUGCUGUCCAAGUUGAAGGUGGUGUCCCCCUCCAACUUGAGGGGGGGUGUUGACAUUACUUAGACGAUUGAGUAGUUGUACAAUUUAUUUUGUAUAUGUGAUGUAUAUAAAGUGUAUAUAGUAUAGGAGUAUUGGUUUGUGGUGCUGAUGUGGGCUGUGAUGUUGAACUGAUAUGGGCUGUGAUGUUGAACUGAUGUGGGCUGUGAUGUUGAAUAUGAGCCCAGUCAUUUUCUGAGCCCAAAUACUCACCCGACCCGGUCCGCCCAGGUAAGUAUAUUUGUAUAUACUCUAUAAGGAUGGAACGAUCCAGAAGAUCAGAUUUUUACUUUUCCUUUUCCCAAAGCUGGCUCUUCGUUUCUCUCAAUAUUCUCCUCCUUCUCUCUACUUUCUCUCUCUAACUUUCUGUGAUUUCUCUC